rnacentral:tRNA from 1 species
GCAUUGGUGGUUCAGUGGUAGAAUUCUAGCCCUUCAUGAAGGAGACCAGGGUUCGAUUCCUGGCCAAAGCG